rnacentral:rRNA from 1 species
ACGGGUGAGUAAUGUCUGGGAAACUGCCUGAUGGAGGGGGAUAACUACUGGAAACGGUAGCUAAUACCGCAUAACGUCGCAAGACCAAAGAGGGGGACCUUCGGGCCUCUUGCCAUCGGAUGUGCCCAGAUGGGAUUAGCUAGUAGGUGAGGUAACGGCUCACCUAGGCGACGAUCCCUAGCUGGUCUGAGAGGAUGACCAGCCACACUGGAACUGAGACACGGUCCAGACUCCUACGGGAGGCAGCAUG